CGUCAUCUCUCUCAGUAUAAGGCAUUCAGGUCAUCAGUAAAGACUUCCCCCCGUCCGUCAUUUGAUUGUCUAUGAGGAACACUUCUCUAGCUCAAUAUCACACACAGACCCACAUUGCCAACAGAAAAGAGGUAUAAAGAAGCUUGCAACCUCGUCAUCUCUCUCAGUAUAAAGCAUCCAGCAAGUCCUCAAUCAUCCAGUACUCACCGAUGACCUUGAGGUUGACCCGCACGUUCCUGGUGGGCGAGGACUUGAAAUCCACUCUGCAGCGGUACUCGUCCUCGUCGCUG